UACGUAGGUGGCAAGCGUUAUCCGGAUUUAUUGGGCGUAAAGAGAACGCAGGCGGUCUUUUAAGUCUGAUGUGAAAGCCUUCGGCUUAACCGGAGUAGUGCAUUGGAAACUGGGAGACUUGAGUGCAGAAGAGGAGAGUGGAACUCCAUGUGUAGCGGUGAAAUGCGUGGAUAUAUGGAGGAACACCGGUGGCGAAAGCGGCUCUCUGGCCUGUAACUGACACUGAGGCUCGAAAGCGUGGGGAGCAAACAGG
rnacentral:rRNA from 1 species